rnacentral:tRNA from 1 species
GUCUAAAUAUUCAAGCAUGAUUUUAAAUUGCAAAUUUAAAGGUAAAUAAAAAAUUUUUUAGACU